rnacentral:rRNA from 1 species
GACGAACGCUGGCGGCGUGCUUAACACAUGCAAGUCGAACGGAAAGGCCCUGCUUUUGUGGGGUGCUCGUGUGGCGAACGGGUGAGUAACACGUGAGUAACCUGCCCUUGACUUUGGGAUAACUUCAGGAAAAUGGGGCUCAUACCGGAUAGGAGCUCCUGCUGCAUGGUGGGGGUUGGAAAGUUUCGGCGGUUGGGGAUGGACUCGCGGCUUAUCAGCUUGUUGGUGGGGUAGUGGAUUACCAAGGCUUUGACGGGUAGCCGGCCUGGGAGGGUGACCGGGCACAUUAGGACUGAGAGACGGCCCAGACUGCUACGGGAGGCAGCAGUGGAGAGUAUUGCACAAUGAGCGGGAGCCUGAUACAGCAACGCCGCGUGCGGGAUGACGGCCUUCUGGUUGUAAACCGCUUUCGCCUGUGACGAAGCGGGAGUGACGGUAAUGGGUAAAGAAGCACCGGCUAACUACGUG